UUUCCUGGGCUUCUGGGAUCUCAUAAAGAUGCUUGCUAGAAAGAAUAUUUAGUCCAAGCUGGGAGGAGUAGUGAUUUUGAUAAGAAAAUCAAGAGCCCUGGCCAUGCUCCUACCUAGAUGUGGGCUGUGGGCUCUGAUAUCAUUGGUGGCUCCUGGUUAGC